UCGAACCAGACGGUUCCGUGAAGGUUACCAACUAUUGCGAAUACAAGGCGAAGAUUCUGUUUCCCGGAGACACUGCUAGGUUCCCGGAUGAGUGCAUCAGCUGCACCUGUGAAGACUGGGGACUCAGCUGUUGUGGGUACGGCUCCAGCGCGGGAGUAAUUUCUGUGCAGGGUUGCAAGCAGAUAAAGGGACCCAACUGUUCUUAUCUGCUGGUCAAGGAAAGUGACCCUACCAAAGAUUGCUUCACCGGACAGUCCAUUGUGGGAUAAUGACAUGAAAUAUGUAGAUUUAGUU